rnacentral:misc_RNA from 1 species
AACGGUCUAUACCUGCGGUACCUGCGGAAGGAUCAUUAUCAAUUUACAGCGGACUUCGGUCCUGUCUGCACCUUUGUCUUUUGCGUACUAUAUGUUUCCUCGGUGGGCUUGCCUGCCGAUAGGACACUUAUAAACUCUUUUGUAAUUGCAAUCAGCGUCAGAAAACUAUAAUAGUUACAACUUUCAACAAUGGAUCUCU